rnacentral:rRNA from 1 species
UACACACCGCCCGUCACACCAUGGGAGUUGGCUUUACCUGAAGACGGCGCGCUAACCGCAAGGAGGCAGCCGGCCACGGUAGGGUCAGCGACUGGGGUG